rnacentral:rRNA from 1 species
UACAGGGGGUGCAAACGUUGCUCGGAAUUAUUGGGCGUAAAGCGCGCGUAGGCGGCUACUUAAGUCGGAUGUGAAAGCCCUUGGCUCAACUGAGGAAGUGCACCCGAAACUGAGUAGCUGGAGUACGAAAGAGGGUCGCGGAAUUCCCGGUGUAGAGGUGAAAUUCGUAGAUAUCGAGAGGAACACCUGCGGCGAAGGCGGGUUGCUGGGCUGACACUGACGCUGAGGCGCGAAAGCUAGGGGAGCGAACGGG